GUCCACGCCGUAAACGAUGUCAACUAGCCGUUGGGUUCCUUGAGGACUUAGUGGCGCAGCUAACGCAUUAAGUUGACCGCCUGGGGAGUACGGCCGCAAGGUUAAAACUCAAAUGAAUUGACGGGGCCCGCACAAGCGGUGGAGCAUGUGGUUUAAUUCGAAGCAACGCGAAGAACCUUACCAGGCCUUGACAUCUACAGAACUUUCCAGAGAUGGAUGGGUGCCUUCGGGAACUGUAAGACAGGUGCUGCAUGGCUGUCGU
rnacentral:rRNA from 1 species